AUUAAUUUGCAGGAAGAGGAACUCAUCGACCGGUUCGUCGUCUUGUCUCUCUAGGGUUUCGCAUGAUCUCCUCCCCUCCCCGUCCGAGAUUUCGCUGCGAUCCGUCUCUCGGUGGAUCUCUCUCUCUCUCUAGGGUUUCGGAUGAUCUCUUUCUCCCUUCACUAUGGCCAAGAUUUCGCUGCUCUCUCCCUCCUAGGGUUUCGGUGGACCUCCCUCUCUCCCGCUUCUAUGUCCAAGAUUUCGCUGCGACCUAGUGUGAGUUGAUCUGACAUUGGAGGAGGAUUAGGGGGGGGAAUCGGUUCGUGAAGUUGACGUGCAGAUCGAGGGCGACUCCUCUCCCGGAGAUCUCGAUGUUAUAUGGCGUAAGUUAAUCGGACGUUGGACGAGGAUCAAGAGGCGAAUGGCUUAGAAGAGUCGGCAUGACGAUCUAACGCCCCUCCCUUCCUGGGGCUAUUCUUUCUUCUUGGUUUCUUUUCUUCUUCUUGCUCUUUCUCGCAAUCCGCUGUGUGAUUCUCAUCGAAGCCCAUCGCACAAACCUUAUUCCGUGUGAACCAGCAGGGUUAGUCCCGUCGAUCUCUUUGCCUGCGCGAGAGAGGUAUUCUUUCUUGAUUCGUUUUAUUUUGGUGUAAAAGAAUCUUCUAAAUUAGGGUUCGCAGGGUUUAGCUCUUCUGUUCGAUUAAAAGAAUAAAGAUUCUGUAUAAGGAUUUCUUAUGUUGCUGCCUACAAGAUUUCUCUUGUCAGAGUUAUCCUUUCUGUUGAUCUUCUCCUUUUUCCGGUCUUAAAAGCAUCUGCAGAUUUUAUGCUGGGGAUCUAAGCUCACUUGUGUUUGACCAAAAGCUUUUAUUCUUUAUAAUCUUUAUCUACGAUAGCUAAAUGUGCUGUUUGCUUAUGAGUGUUAUGACUUGACAUUGAGCUAUUACUUGAUUGGAUAUGGAAUGCAUGUUUCCUUCGUUUCUCUUAUCAAUAUGCCUACAGAAAAUAUAGAUUUACCUGUCAUUGACGUCACUGUGUGGUGAGUAGUUCUUAAAGUCUUUGUAUGAGAUUCUGUUACCGAGUUGAGAUAAUAGGUUUGCAGAUUCAGUGAAGUGGUGUCAUGAAAAACUGUAUUAGAGGGAGUUUUUUUUCUGGUCUUGAAAGCGUUACAUAAUUGUAGAACAUUAAAGCAUCUACAGAUUUUAUGCUGGGGAUCUAAGCUCACUUGUGUUUGACCAAAAGCUUUUAUUCUUUAUAAUCUUUAUCUACGAUAGCUAAAUGUGCUGUUUGCUUACGAGUGUUAUGACUUGACAUUGAGCUAUUACUUGAUUGGAUAUGGAAUGCAUGUUUCCUUCGUUUCUCUUA